rnacentral:rRNA from 1 species
GGGUUGUGAGGUUAAGCGAAUAAGCGUACACGGUGGAUGCCUAGGCAAUCAGAGGCGAUGAAGGACGUGCUAAUCUGCGAAAAGCGUCGGUAAGGUGAUAUGAACCGUUAUACCCGACGAUAUCCGAAUGGGGAAACCCAGUAUCCAAUGGAUACUAUCAUUAACUGAAUUCAUAGGUUAAUGAGGCGAACCGGGAGAACUGAAACAUCUCAGUACCCCGAGGAAAAGAAAUCAACCGAGAUUCCCCUAGUAGCGGCGAGCGAACGGGGAGCAGCCCAGAGUCUUAAUCAAUAGCAGUGUCAGGAGAACGGUCUGGAAAGUCCGGCAGUAAAGGGUGAUAGCCCCGUAUCUGAAGAUGCUGUUAUUGUGAACUCGACGAGUAGGGCGGGACACGUGUUAUCCUGUCUGAAUAUGGGGGGACCAUCCUCCAAGGCUAAAUACUCCUGAUUGACCGAUAGUGAACCAGUACCGUGAGGGAAAGGCGAAAAGAACCCCGGCGAGGGGAGUGAAAAAGAACCUGAAACCGUGUACGUACAAGCAGUAGGAGCCCCACCACUAAGCUAGUGGUGAGUGUCACAGCGAUUCUUUUGCAUGAUAAGUGCGGUAGACGGAGCGAAGCGACGUCCAACCCACAAAAUCAAGCCGAGGAGGCUUAGUGGUGGGGUGACUGCGUACCUUUUGUAUAAUGGGUCAGCGACUUAUAUUCUGUAGCAAGGUUAACCGCAUAGGGGAGCCGUAGGGAAACCGAGUCUUAACUGGGCGAAUGAGUUGCAGGGUAUAGACCCGAAACCCGGUGAUCUAUCCAUGGGCAGGUUGAAGGUUGGGUAACACUAACUGGAGGACCGAACCGACUAAUGUUGAAAAAUUAGCGGAUGACUUGUGGAUGGGGGUGAAAGGCCAAUCAAACCGGGAGAUAGCUGGUUCUCCCCGAAAGCUAUUUAGGUAGCGCCUCGUGAACUCAUCUUCGGGGGUAGAGCACUGUUUCGACUAGGGGGUCAUCCCGACUUACCAACUCGAUGCAAACUGCGAAUACCGAAGAAUGUUAUCACGGGAGACACACGGCGGGUGCUAACGUCCGUCGUGAAGAGGGAAACAACCCAGACCGCCAGCUAAGGUCCCAAAGUCAUGGUUAAGUGGGAAACGAAGUGGGAAGGCUCAGACAGCCAGGAUGUUGGCUUAGAAGCAGCCAUCAUUUAAAGAAAGCGUAAUAGCUCACUGGUCGAGUCGGCCCGCGCGGAAGAUGUAACGGGGCUAAACCAUGCACCGAAGCUGCGGCAGCGACACAAUGUGUUGUUGGGUAGGGGAGCGUUCUGUAAGCCUGCGAAGGUGUACUGUGAGGUAUGCUGGAGGUAUCAGAAGUGCGAAUGCUGACAUAAGUAACGAUAAUGCGGGUGAAAAACCCGCACGCCGGAAGACCAAGGGUUCCUGUCCAACGUUAAUCGGGGCAGGGUGAGUCGACCCCUAAGGCGAGGCUGAAAAGCGUAGUCGAUGGGAAACGGGUUAAUAUUCCCGUACUGGUGGUAACUGCGAUGGGGGAACGGAGAAGGCUAGGUUGUCCGGGCGACGGUCGUCCCGGUUCAAGCAGGUAGGCAGAGUGAUUAGGCAAAUCCGGUCACUUAAUGCUGAGAUGUGAUGACGAGCCACUAAGGUGGUGAAGCAAUUGAUGCCCCGCUUCCAGGAAAAGCCUCUAAGCUUCAGGUUACCAACAAUCGUACCCCAAACCGACACAGGUGGUCAGGUAGAGAAUACUCAGGCGCUUGAGAGAACUCGGGUGAAGGAACUAGGCAAAAUGGUGCCGUAACUUCGGGAGAAGGCACGCUGGCGGUAGGUAAAGUCCCUUGCGGACGGCGCUGAAGCCAGUCGAAGAUACCAGCUGGCUGCAACUGUUUAUUAAAAACACAGCACUGUGCAAACACGAAAGUGGACGUAUACGGUGUGACGCCUGCCCGGUGCUGGAAGGUUAAUUGAUGGGGUCAGCCGCAAGGCGAAGCUCCUGAUCGAAGCCCCAGUAAACGGCGGCCGUAACUAUAACGGUCCUAAGGUAGCGAAAUUCCUUGUCGGGUAAGUUCCGACCUGCACGAAUGGCGUAAUGAUGGCCAGGCUGUCUCCACCCGAGACUCAGUGAAAUUGAACUCGCUGUGAAGAUGCAGUGUACCCGCGGCAAGACGGAAAGACCCCGUGAACCUUUACUAUAGCUUGACACUGAACAUUGAGCCUUGAUGUGUAGGAUAGGUGGGAGGCUUUGAAGUGUGGACGCCAGUCUGCAUGGAGCCAACCUUGAAAUACCACCCUUUAACGUUUGAUGUUCUAACCUAGGCCCGUAAUCCGGGUCGGGGACCGUGUCUGGUGGGUAGUUUGACUGGGGCGGUCUCCUCCUAAAGAGUAACGGAGGAGCACGAAGGUUGGCUAAGCAUGGUCGGACAUCAUGCGGUUAGUGCAAAGGCAUAAGCCAGCUUGACUGCGAGAGUGACGGCUCGAGCAGGUACGAAAGUAGGUCUUAGUGAUCCGGUGGUUCUGAAUGGAAGGGCCAUCGCUCAACGGAUAAAAGGUACUCCGGGGAUAACAGGCUGAUACCGCCCAAGAGUUCAUAUCGACGGCGGUGUUUGGCACCUCGAUGUCGGCUCAUCACAUCCUGGGGCUGAAGUAGGUCCCAAGGGUAUGGCUGUUCGCCAUUUAAAGUGGUACGCGAGCUGGGUUUAGAACGUCGUGAGACAGUUCGGUCCCUAUCUGCCGUGGGCGUUGGAAGAUUGAGAGGGGUUGCUCCUAGUACGAGAGGACCGGAGUGAACGCACCACUGGUGUUCGGGUUGUCAUGCCAAUGGCAUUGCCCGGUAGCUAAGUGCGGAAGAGAUAACCGCUGAAAGCAUCUAAGCGGGAAACUUGCCUCGAGAUGAGUCUUCCCUGUCACUUAAAGUGACCUAAAGGAACGUUUAAGACUAAGACGUUGAUAGGCUGGGUGUGUAAGCGUAGCGAUACGUUGAGCUAACCAGUACUAAUGAACCGUGAGGCUUAACCUGACAACACCGAAGGUGUUU